rnacentral:rRNA from 1 species
GAUGAACGCUAGCGAUAGGCUUAACACAUGCAAGUCGAGGGGCAGCACAAGGUAGCUUGCUAUCUGGGUGGCGACCGGCGCACGGGUGCGUAACGCGUAUGCAACUUGCCCUAUACAGGAGGAUAACCCGUCGAAAGACGGACUAAUACUGCGUAUGCUCACAACUUGGCAUCAAGUGGUGAGGAAAGAAAUUCGGUAUAGGAUAGGCAUGCGUCCCAUUAGCUUGUUGGUGAGGUAACGGCUCACCAAGGCAACGAUGGGUAGGGGAACUGAGAGGUUUAUCCCCCACACUGGUACUGAGACACGGACCAGACUCCUACGGGAGGCAGCAGUGAGGAAGAUUGGUCAAUGGGCGCGAGCCUGAACCAGCCAAGUCGCGUGAAGGAUGACUGUCUUAUGGAUUGUAAACUUCUUUUAGACGGGAAUAACAAGAGUCACGUGUGACUCCCUGCAUGUACCGUAUGAAUAAGCAUCGGCUAACUCCGUG